rnacentral:rRNA from 1 species
AGAGUUUGAUCCUGGCUCAGGAUGAACGCUAGCGGCAGGCUUAACACAUGCAAGUCGAGGGGCAGCGGGGAGUAGCAAUACUCUGCCGGCGACCGGCGCAAGGGUACGUAACGCGUGAGCAACUUGCCCAUGUCAGGGGGAUAACCGGUGGAAACGCCGCCUAAUACCCCAUACUAGUGAGGACCGCAUGAUCUUCACUUGAAAGAAUUUCGGACAUGGAUAGGCUCGCGUGACAUUAGCUAGUUGGUGAGGUAACGGCCCACCAAGGCGACGAUGUCUAGGGGAACUGAGAGGUUGGUCCCCCACACUGGAACUGAGACACGGUCCAGACUCCUACGGGAGGCAGCAGUGAGGAAUAUUGGUCAAUGGACGCAAGUCUGAACCAGCCAUGCCGCGUGAAGGAUUAAGGCCCUAUGGGUCGUAAACUUCUUUUGUAUGGGAGCAAUAAGGGUCACGUGUGAUCCGAUGAGAGUGCCAUACGAAUAAGCAUCGGCUAACUCCGUGCCAGCAGCCGCGGUAAUACGGAGGAUGCAAGCGUUAUCCGGAUUCAUUGGGUUUAAAGGGUGCGUAGGCGGCUUGGUAAGUCAGCGGUGAAAUGCCAGUGCUCAACAUUGGACGUGCCGUUGAUACUGCCGGGCUUGAAUGCGGAUGCCGUGGGAGGAAUGUGUGGUCUAGCGGUGAAAUGCAUAGAUAUUACUCAGAACACCAAUUGCGAAGGCAGGUUACUAAGUCUUAACUGACGCUGAGGGACGAAAGCGUGGGGAGCGAACAGGAUUAGAUACCCUGGUAGUCCACGCCGUAAACG